rnacentral:rRNA from 1 species
CGUGCAGGCGGGUUGGUAAGUCAGAUGUGAAAGCCCUGGGCUUAACCCAGGAAGUGCAUUUGAAACUGCCAUCCUUGAGUAUGGGAGAGGAGAGUGGAAUUCCCAAUGUAGAGGUGAAAUUCGUAGAUAUUGGGAGGAACACCCGUGGCGAAGGCGACUCUCUGGACCAAUACUGACGCUGAGACGCGAAAGCGUGGGGAGCAAACA